CAAUACUUUUUACUGUAGAUUUCACUGUUCCAUUGUUAGAGCUCAAAUUUAAGUAAAAUUUUUUAACUAGAUCAACAUAAGUAUUUUCCUUUAAAGAGUUGUAAAAUUUUCAUCCUUGAUACUUAAUCUUCAAUCCAAUAGUGAAUCCUUCUUUUUCAAAAAACUUGAAAUCAAUAUUUUUCUCAGGUUCCACUUUUCGAUCAGAGAGAAGUACCUUGCUUAGGCUGAUUGGAGACUGAGUGGAAGCUGAAGCAGG
rnacentral:lncRNA from 1 species